CCCCAAGUAGCUAGCCUCAGCACUGGUCUUUUAAACCAGAGACGGGACGCUCCAAGACAACGCCCCCUUGAGGA
rnacentral:tRNA from 1 species